rnacentral:rRNA from 1 species
GGUUAAGUUAGAAAGGGCGCACGGUGGAUGCCUUGGCACUAGGAGCCGAAGAAGGACGGGACUAACACCGAUAUGCUUUGGGGAGCUGUACGUAAGCGUUGAUCCAGAGAUUUCCGAAUGGGGGAACCCACUAUCUUUAGUCGGAUAGUAUCCUUACGUGAAUACAUAGCGUGAGGAAGGCAGACCCAGGGAACUGAAACAUCUAAGUACCUGGAGGAAGAGAAAGAAAAAUCGAUUUCCUGAGUAGCGGCGAGCGAAACGGAAAGAGCCCAAACCAAGAAGCUUGCUUCUUGGGGUUGUAGGACACUCUAUACGGAGUUACGAAAGAAAGUUAUAAAUGUAGCGGUCUGGAAAGGCCUGCCAAAGACGGUAACAGCCCGGUAGUUGAAAUGGCUUUCCCUCCAGAGUGGAUCCUGAGUACGGCGGACCACGUGAAAUUCCGUCGGAAUCCGGGAGGACCAUCUCCCAAGGCUAAAUACUCCCUAGUGACCGAUAGUGAACCAGUACCGUGAGGGAAAGGUGAAAAGCACCCCGGAAGGGGAGUGAAACAGUUCCUGAAACCGUGUGCCUACAAGUAGUUAGAGCCCGUUAAUGGGUGAUAGCGUGCCUUUUGUAGAAUGAACCGGCGAGUUACGAUUUGUUGCAAGGUUAAGCGGAAAAAGCGGAGCCGUAGCGAAAGCGAGUCUGAAUAGGGCGCAUAAGUAACAGGUCGUAGACCCGAAACCAGGUGAUCUACCCAUGUCCAGGAUGAAGGUAAGGUAAUACUUACUGGAGGUCCGAACCCACGCACGUUGAAAAGUGCGGGGAUGAGGUGUGGGUAGCGGAGAAAUUCCAAUCGAACUUGGAGAUAGCUGGUUCUCUCCGAAAUAGCUUUAGGGCUAGCCUCGAGGUAAAGAGUCAUGGAGGUAGAGCACUGUUUGGACUAGGGGCCCUUCUCGGGUUACCGAAUUCAGAUAAACUCCGAAUGCCAUGUACUUAUACUCGGGAGUCAGACUGCGAGUGAUAAGAUCCGUAGUCGAAAGGGAAACAGCCCAGACCACCAGUUAAGGUCCCCAAAUAUAUGUUAAGUGGAAAAGGAUGUGGGGUUGCUUAGACAACCAGGAUGUUGGCUUAGAAGCAGCCACCAUUGAAAGAGUGCGUAAUAGCUCACUGGUCGAGUGACCCCGCGCCGAAAAUGUACCGGGGCUAAACAUAUUACCGAAACUGUGGAUGAACCUCUUUAGAGGUUCGUGGUAGGAGAGCGUUCUAAGGGCGGUGAAGUCAGACCGGAAGGACUGGUGGAGCGCUUAGAAGUGAGAAUGCCGGUAUGAGUAGCGAAAGAAGGGUGAGAAUCCCUUCCACCGAAUAUCUAAGGUUUCCUGAGGAAGGCUCGUCCGCUCAGGGUUAGUCGGGACCUAAGCCGAGGCCGAUAGGCGUAGGCGAUGGACAACAGGUAGAGAUUCCUGUACCAGUGCUAAUUGUUUAACCGAUGGGGUGACACAGAAGGAUAGGGAAUCGCACGAAUGGAAAUGUGCGUCCAAGCAGUGAGUGUGAGAAGUAGGCAAAUCCGCUUCUCGCGAAGCAUGAGCUGUGAUGGGGAAGGAAAUUAAGUACGGAAGUUCCUGAUUUCACGCUGUCAAGAAAAGCCUCUAGGAAGAGUAGUACUGCCCGUACCGCAAACCGACACAGGUAGAUGAGGAGAGAAUCCUAAGGUGAGCGAGAGAACUCUCGUUAAGGAACUCGGCAAAAUGACCCCGUAACUUCGGGAGAAGGGGUGCUCUAUUAGGGUGCAAGCCCGAGAGAGCCGCAGUGAAUAGGCCCAGGCGACUGUUUAGCAAAAACACAGGUCUCUGCAAAACCGUAAGGUGACGUAUAGGGGCUGACGCCUGCCCGGUGCUGGAAGGUUAAGAGGAGUGCUUAGCUUCGGCGAAGGUACGAAUUGAAGCCCCAGUAAACGGCGGCCGUAACUAUAACGGUCCUAAGGUAGCGAAAUUCCUUGUCGGGUAAGUUCCGACCCGCACGAAAGGCGCAACGAUCUGGGCACUGUCUCAACGAGAGACUCGGUGAAAUUAUAGUACCUGUGAAGAUGCAGGUUACCCGCGACAGGACGGAAAGACCCCGUGGAGCUUUACUGCAACCUGAUAUGGAAUGUUUGUACCGCUUGUACAGGAUAGGUAGGAGCCGAAGAGACGUGUGCGCUAGCAUACGAGGAGGCAAUGGUGGGAUACUACCCUGGCUGUAUGACCAUUCUAACCCGCCACGCUUAGCGCGUGGGGAGACAGUGUCAGGUGGGCAGUUUGACUGGGGCGGUCGCCUCCUAAAGAGUAACGGAGGCGCCCAAAGGUUCCCUCAGAAUGGAUGGAAAUCAUUCGCAGAGUGUAAAGGCACAAGGGAGCUUGACUGCGAGACUGACAAGUCGAGCAGGGACGAAAGUCGGGCUUAGUGAUCCGGUGGUUCCGCAUGGAAGGGCCAUCGCUCAACGGAUAAAAGCU